GUAAAGACUAUGAAGAGGACGAGUAAGUUAAGUUUUAUCUCUUAAGAGAGGAAAGCCAUCGGCUGCAAGCUUUCCGAGAUAAUUUAACUGAAAACCACCUCUGAGUUGGUACCGGAAAGAGUUUGUUUUAAGUAUGGUAGCCCGGAAGUUAUAAUUUCCGUUAUUAAAUAAGAGAUUAUUCGAUUUGUAAUUAUUAGUUCUUAAUUCACUUUGAUUAAGUUAAUAAUUUUAAUCGGAUAAAAUAGAGUGGAACCACGGAUAAUAAUACCUUUCGUCUCUAAU
rnacentral:ncRNA from 1 species